UACAGAGGUCUCAAGUGUUGUUCGGAUUCAUUGGGCGUAAAGGGUGCGUAGGCGGCGCGGUAAGUCGGGUGUGAAAUCCUGGAGCUCAACUCCAGAACUGCCUUCGAUACUGGAGAGCUCGAGUCCGGGAGAGGUGAGUGGAACUGCGAGUGUAGAGGUGAAAUUCGUAGAUAUUCGCAAGAACACCAGUGGCGAAGGCGGGUCUCUGGGCCGAUACUGACGCUGAGGAGCGAAAAGCGUGGGGAGCGAACAGG
rnacentral:rRNA from 1 species